AAAACACAUAAUAAGGUGGUGCAAAAGGGCCUUGAAUGCACAGCCAAAAGGAGCAACAACUUAGUGUCAUCAUCUUCUGCUCAAACGACCUAAAUAGACUUACUGCCAUAAAUACUUAACAGGACUUCUUCCGAGAAAAGCAUAACUGACAACAAACAGAUAUCUGGUCUGAUUAGUUGAAGGAAAUGACGUCCAACCAAUUGAUUUGCGAGCGCACAUCUAUAGAUCCUCCUUCCUCGUUCCCAACGGACUGAAUUAUCUUGAUUGCUGCCUUCAUCCUAACAGUAUCGGCAUCAACCUGCAUGGAGUCCAAACAUAAACCUUGUUACUGAUGUUAUCAACUGAACGUAAUGUCCUGUAUUUAUUAAAUCUUUUCAUCAAAUUUUGGCUGCAUUCUCACCAGUGUGUUAAUAAUUAUUGAAGGGGACAUGCAAGGUAUGGAUGUGGAAGAAAACUCAUAUGUUUAGAAGAAUACUCACCCAUCCAGAGAAACUGGUGAAAUCUACCAUUUCCAAAAUCGUAAAUUAUGGAAAUUUACAUCUUAUUCCAUAAUUCUAGCUACAAUAGCACUUAUCGAAAUUUACAAAACUUUAAAUCUCCCAAAAUGCUAAUUUCAAUCCACAAUCUAAGUUUUUUUGCUGUCACAGUCAACAUUAGUCACCUUUGAUUUCAACGAAUUGUCACAGUAAGAUGUUUUUAAACAAUGUCUUAACAAAGUUCAAUAUUUUUUGCCAUUAACAAUAGGGAUAACAAAUACUACAAGAAUAAAAAAAAUCCGUUUGCCAGAACGUAUAGUGUAGAUUUUUCAAAUACGAAUUCUCACUUGAAUACUCAGCAACAAUGCAACAAAGCUAGUUGCAGAGAAUUCAAUGAUCACAAAUCUCUGAUUUCGGAAUUCAGAUUCAGAAUAUAAAAUUGCAGAUUUAGAUUCUACAACAGCAAAAGCUUCAAAAUCAGCAUGGAAUUUAGAUAUCACAGCAAAAGUUCACAUCAAAGGAGAAGAAGGAGCCUCAUCAAAUUUCCAUUUCAAAUUCCUACCUCAACAAUAACAAGAGGAUUCAACAAAAAGUGCAGAUCAGGCAGAAAUUCAAAUCUCAAACCCAGAAAUUCAGAUCUAUCCGUCAGCUCCACUUUUUUACAGCAAAUACAGAACAAGCCUAAAUUCCAAUCAACAUUACAGGGUUUCGCAAUUCGGGACAAGACAACACAAGCAAUUCACCAAGUAGAAGAUUCAGAGGCAAAUUUGGAAUUACCUAUCGCGAUUGGGAUUGACGGUGUCGAGGUGGAUGUACGAGCAGUGGACGACACCAAUUUGGGCAACGGUAAUGGGACUCGAAGCGGCGUGGUCGCGAUGGAGAGGGUGAAGUUCACGGAUUCAGCACCGACAGCGGUGAGGGUACCGCGACCACCACCACAACCACCACAUCUGAACUCUCACGCGGUGCCCACGAUGCUACAACGCUAAACAGAGGAGGCGGCACCGACGAGGAAGAAGCAACAGAUUAGCGAUGCUUGAAGCGAGGCCUUCCUAGACGAACGCCGUCGCGGCUGCAACUCGGUCAUGGUGUGUUUCUCCGAUUGUGGCCAAGCCACCACCACUAAUGGCGGCAGUGCUCCAUUGGGAGCGUGAGAAUGGGAUCACACCAGA